rnacentral:rRNA from 1 species
UACGAAGGGGGCUAGCGUUGUUCGGAAUUACUGGGCGUAAAGCGCGUGUAGGCGGGUCCUUAAGUCAGGGGUGAAAUGCCAAGGCUCAACCUUGGAACUGCCUUUGAUACUGGGGAUCUUGAGUCCGGGAGAGGUGAGUGGAACUGCGAGUGUAGAGGUGAAAUUCGUAGAUAUUCGCAAGAACACCAGUGGCGAAGGCGGCUCAGCUGGCCCGGUACUGACGCUGAGGUGCGAAGCGUGGGGAGCAAACAGG